rnacentral:rRNA from 1 species
GGAAUAUUGGACAAUGCCCGCAAGGGUGAUCCAGCCAUGCCGCGUGCAGGAAGACGGCCGUAUGGGUUGUAAACUGCUUUUACAUCGGAGAAAACCCCUUUUCGUGAAGAGGGCUGAUAGUAUGGUGAGAAUAAGCAUCGGCUAACUUCGUGCCAGCAGCCGCGGUAAGACGAAGGAUGCAAGCGUUAUCCGGAUUCAUUGGGUUUAAAGGGAGCGUAGGUGGCCUUAUAAGUCAGUGGUGAAAUCUCUGGGCUUAACCCAGAAAUUGCCAUUGAUACUGUAGGGCUUGAGUAUAGUUGCCGUUGGCGGAAUAUGACAUGUAGUGGUGAAAUACAUAGAGAUGUCAUAGAACAGCGAUUGCGAAGGCAGCUGACGAGACUAUAACUGACACUGAGGCUCGAAAGUGCGGGGAUC